ensembl:lncRNA
CCCACACAGACCCACACACAGGUACAUUAGUACAUACAAACAAUAGGAGAAGAACAAUAGCCAGGUGACUUUGAGGUUUUCUGUGCCGGGUGGCAUGCAAUAGUUUCCCAGCAGGAGAAGACAGAUACUAUACACUGUACAGUAUAUAGUUUACAGUAUACAGUAUGUAGAAUACAGUAUACUGCAGAAGUUGAUGGGUUGUUGGUUAAAGGCCUCACGAUGUUUGACCUAGAAGGAUACACUUUGAGUACCAAACCGCAUGUCCCACAAUGCACUGCAGGGACAACAGCAGGGAGAACACUGACCUGAGAAGUUUCCAUGACAACUGUCUGUGAGGCAGAGAUCGAAGUUGAUUUUGCAGUUCUGGACACCGGCAAAAUAUACGUUUGAAGAAAAGAAAGCAAGCAAAAAAAAGGCAAGUGGAUAAAAAGAGUCUUCUGGUUCUGGUUUCAAAUCGAUGCUGACAACAUUUCAGAGUGUGUAACGCACACACGCACACACACGCACGCACACACACCUACACAUACACACCGUGGGGAGAGUGAAGACAUGCUGAAGAGAACCAUCUUGGAGGGUCAGAAGAACCAUAUCUCUGGCAAGAGGAACCAGGUCCGUUUCCAUGGCAACAUGUGACUGUUCUGCUGUUUCAUUGGUAAAGUAGUCUAACUGGUCUGAUUUUCCGGUGCCUCUCUGCUGUCCUGCAGUGCCUUACGAUAACACCCCAAACAACGGGCAUCUGGCUCUGAUCAGCGGAUUGGCCGAUACGAGAAGCCGACAUGUCUCAUCAUUGGUUGGAUGGGACGAUCUGGGCGGUACCAAACUCUGUUUACAGGUGAGGUUUUUUUUUUUUAACCCAGCGGUACAAAGCUAGGUUAUGUCCCAUAGUACCUUUUAACUUUUAACUAGAUGUGAAUGAUCCAACAGUGGUGAGUUAGAGAGGCAGAGGCAACACGUUCCUGAACCACUAUCUUUUAAAAUGACACAGAGUUGUGCUCUUAAACUUCCUUACUUGUCCACUAUUGCUUUAAGAAUUAUUGAUAACAUAUCCAAAAGUUUCAUGAUGGUAACAAAAUAAUCUUAACCCAUGAAUAAAAAUAAAUAAUAUCUUAAAUAAGUACAAACGUAACACAAAAUCCCAAAAAUAUAAAUUAAUCUUUUUGUUACCAGUGUUCCAGCUGAUACACAGAUAAAUAAGUGGCACAAUUAAAAUAUGCUGUAUCAUGGGUAAACAUGAAAUAUAUCAAAAUAUGUCAGUAUUUUCUCAAAAACAAUAUAAAUAAUAAUGUGAUUUGAUGAUUAAGGCGAUAUAACUGAACUGUAUAAAAUGAAAAAAGCAAAAUUGAAAAAAAUAUUGUAACAAAACAAUACAAAUAAUUGUAUCAUAUUCAACAACAAGAAGAAUAUCUCGGACCCAAAUGUUGUGGGGCGGUUGAUAAAACAUCAUCACCACGAGCAUUGUGGGUAAACGUUAUCUGAAUGGCUUGUAAUGGCUGACAAGAAUCUGUCCACAAUGGCUCCAUUCCAAAACACAACUCUUGAAGAUAAUGGCUACUCCUGCGGCCACAUCCCUGUAGCUUCCCCACUUUCCCGACCUUUGAACCUUUAAAAACAUAAAUCCUCUUCUCCGCUUGUGUUUUUUCCGUCCUUAUUUUACGUGUCUCCUCAGUUUCCCUAUGGCCUCUGUUAGGUCAUGAUGAACAGUGUUAGGUCUUGGAUAUAAAGUUCCAUGCAUUCCAAAUUCCUCGAUUUGUUUUCCACGAUACACACUAUACUUGUUUAAAGACAUGACAAGAAGGUUAUGAAGAGGGGAUAAAGGAAAGAUCAGACGAUGGGGUCGGCAUUCAGAAGAGCGAUGCGGGGAGGAGGAGGAGGAAGAGGACGAAGAGGUUCCAUUCUGGAAUGUAGAGACAGAUCAAAGCUCAAAAGAAAGACACCUCAUCCGUGUCUCCGUCCGAUAAAUCGUUGUUUGCGUUCUCCAUCGCCGUGUCCAACAAUCAGCGAUGAACACAGAGGUCUUUAGUACCAGAAAAACCCACCGUGGAAUUCAUUCCUUGUUUGGCUCUUUGAGAGGAGAGAGAGAGAGAGAGAGAGAGAGCGAGGAGGAGAGCUAUGCCAUUGUUGUUCUCUAGACCGAGUGUCCUCAGGAGGAUCCCAGCGCAUCCUCGUGGUUAUCCCGCCUGGUAAACUUCCGUCGGUGGGAUCGAGACGCCGACCGCGAACGCUCCAGCAUUACGUUAUCGUUUCACAUGGGCCGGCUGCAGCCCAAAGGAGAGCUCUCCUGGGGCCACUCCCGGGGGGAUGGAAGACACACAGAACAUGCAGGCUCCCAUUCUGCGCUUUGUUGUUUUUCUGAUCUGGGGUAGCAGGGGGUGG